rnacentral:rRNA from 1 species
UACGUAGGUGGCAAGCGUUGUCCGGAUUUACUGGGCGUACAGAGCGCGCAGGCGGUCGUUCAAGUCGCGUGUGAAAGCCCCCGGCUCAACUGGGGAGGGUCACGCGAUACUGAUCGACUCGAAGGCAGGAGAGGGUAGUGGAAUUCCCGGUGUAGUGGUGAAAUGCGUAGAUAUCGGGAGGAACACCAGUGGCGAAGGCGACUACCUGGCCUGUUCUUGACGCUGAGGCGCGAAAGCUAGGGGAGCAAACGGG